GAGGCCACGGGUCAGCCAUGGACAGACAGCCCCAACCCUGUAGGGCAGGGAGAAGAGGGUGUGGAGGGUGGCAGAGAAGGAAGAGCAAGGAGCUGAGACACAGUAGCAGUCCGGGGCACAGGGGCAUCCAGAACUGUAGCUGGGCCCCCAAGAUGCCGUCUGGUGGCCAAUGAUGCCACUCCAUGGAAAACAGCUCCUGUAGCCACUCCCUGGAUAGGCUGAACUACCCUCUCAGGCAAGGACUGCUCUGGGCAUGUCUGAGUACCUGCAACACGAGUAUGGCUGAGGCUCAGUAUGUACAGGCACUGACUGGAGGCUGAGGAAGAUUUGCUACAGGAAGACUGAGUGCUGGGACUGCCUCUGACCCUCUGCAACAGAAAUACACUGCUGGGACUAAAUGAUGUGAUUCAGAAGUUGAUGGCUGGUGUAGCUCAGUGGAUUGAACACAGGCUGCGAACCGAAAGGUCACGGUUCGAUUCCCAGUCGGGGCAUAUGCUGGGUUGUCUGCCCAGCCCCCAGUGGGGGCCAUGUGAGAGGCAACCACACACUGAUGUUUCUCUCCCUCUC